rnacentral:rRNA from 1 species
UACGUAGGGUGCGAGCGUUAAUCGGAAUUACUGGGCGUAAAGUGUGCGCAGGCGGCCGAGCAAGUCGAGUGUGAAAGCCCCGAGCUUAACUUGGGAACUGCGCUCGAAACUACUUGGCUAGAGUGUGGCAGAGGGAGGUGGAAUUCCACGUGUAGCGGUGAAAUGCGUAGAGAUGUGGAGGAACACCGAUGGCGAAGGCAGGUCUCUGGGCCAUAACUGACGCUGAGAAGCGAAAGCAUGGGGAGCGAACAGG